rnacentral:rRNA from 1 species
AGCUAUCUUUCGGGGUGGUCAAUUGGUUGUUAUAUCUCCACUAAUAAGCGGAGAGGGGUAAAACCUUCAAAGUAAGUUAUGUGGAUCAAGGUAUGAUGAUUAAUUGGAGUUCUAGUUCAUUUACUUUGAGAAAAUUAGAGUGUUUAAAGCAGCCUCUUGGGGCACUGAAUACAUUAGCAUGGGAUAAUAAAAUAGGAUCUUCACAAUAUAUUUUAUUGGUUUAAAUUGGAUAUGAAGAUAAUGAUUAAUAGGGACAGUUGGGGAUAUUCAUAUUGGGUGGUUAGCGGUGAAAUGCUCGGAUCCAUUCAAGAUGAACUAAAGCGAAGGCAUUUUACCAAGGAUGUUUUCAUUAAUCAAGAACGAAAGUUAAGGGAUCGAAGACGAUUAGAUACCGUCGUAGUCUUAACUAUAAACUAUGCCGACCAGGGAUAUGAGUUGUUAGGAAUAUACGAAAGUAUAUUCAAUUUCUUCUUAUGGACCUUGUGAGAAAUCAUAAGUUUUUGGGUUCUGGGAG